UACGUAGGGUGCGAGCGUUGUCCGGAAUUACUGGGCGUAAAGGGCUCGUAGGCGGCCAACUAAGUCGGAUGUGAAAUCCCCAGGCUUAACCUGGGAACUGCAUCCGAUACUGGAUGGCUUGAAUCCGGGAGAGGGAUGCGGAAUUCCAGGUGUAGCGGUGAAAUGCGUAGAUAUCUGGAGGAACACCGGUGGCGAAGGCGGCAUCCUGGACCGGCAUUGACGCUGAGGAGCGAAGGCCAGGGGAGCAAACGGG
rnacentral:rRNA from 1 species